ACUCUUAGUGGACGUGGGGUUUGACCAAAGAACGACUCACAAGGACGAAAAACAUAUGUAUGGUGUCCGGUGUCGACUUAGGUACCGCUUUACGAAGGACGACGAGCGGAAGAACCGCAAAGAGGACGGCCGCCGGAUACGCUGCACGGUGGGACUGCUGGAAGUUCGCGGCGCCCCGAAGCGGCCCUUCUCGUUAUCUUCUUGUGAGGUUGUUGUUGUUGGUUUGUGGUAAUGACCCUGGUUGUUGUCACAAUCUAGACCUUCACCGUUGUAACAUAGACCCUCGCCGUUGUGACAACAUAGACCCUGUUGUUGUUACAAAGACCCUCGUUGUUGUGUCAGUGUAGACCCUCGUCGUUACAGUAUGAACUGUGGUUGGUACAGCAUUAACCCUCGUUGUUAUGACAUAGGCCGUUAUUGUUAUCCCAUUGACCCUUGUUAUUACAACAUAGGCCCUCGUUGGUUCAGCACAGGCCCCUGUUGUUUCAGCAUUGACCGAUUACUAGACAAUCACCUAACUAAAGCCGAAGGGACCACGUCAAGUAUGCAGGAACAGGUUCAAGUCACACCGACUGUUAAUGAACCACCCGGGUUAGCACAAACCUUGAAGUACCUAUAUCGUAGGAUGGAUGAAUUUUAUUUUAAAGGGAUUUUAUAGAUAUCUUGCAAAAUGUAUGAUUUACGACCGGACCUGUCGUUACCGCUGAACGUCGAAUCCAUGUUCAAAAGUAGCACCUACAGAUCUACACCAAUAAAGUAGAUAAGACAAUAGACAUUACACACUACAAAAUAAUAUAUACUUCUAACUAGAUACUUAAUAUUGACGA
rnacentral:rRNA from 1 species